UACAGAGGGGGCAAGCGUUAUUCGGAAUUAUUGGGCGUAAAGGGCGCGUAGGCGGCCAUUCAAGUGACGGGUGAAAGCCCUCGGCUUAACCGAGGAACUGCCUGUCAGACUGGAUGGCUUGAGACCGGGAGAGGUGAGUGGAAUUCCCAGUGUAGCGGUGAAAUGCGUAGAUAUUGGGAGGAACACCAGUGGCGAAGGCGGCUCACUGGACCGGUACUGACGCUGAGACGCGAAAGCGUGGGGAGCGAACAGG
rnacentral:rRNA from 1 species